UGGGGUGUGGCUUAGCGGUAGAGCACUCACCUAGCAUGUGCGAGGUCCUGGGUUUGAUCCUCAGCACCAUAU
rnacentral:tRNA from 1 species